UACGUAGGGUGCAAGCGUUAAUCGGAAUUACUGGGCGUAAAGCGUGCGCAGGCGGCUAUGCAAGACAGAUGUGAAAUCCCCGGGCUCAACCUGGGAACUGCAUUUGUGACUGCAUGGCUAGAGUACGGUAGAGGGGGAUGGAAUUCCGCGUGUAGCAGUGAAAUGCGUAGAUAUGCGGAGGAACACCGAUGGCGAAGGCAGUCCCCUGGACCUGUACUGACGCUCAUGCACGAAAGCGUGGGGAGCAAACAGG
rnacentral:rRNA from 1 species